rnacentral:lncRNA from 13 species
UCUAUUAAGGACAGCACUUCACAGGGCUCUUGCCCCUUCUGUCCAAGGUGCAUGAAGCAUUCCAUCAAUGCUACUCAUACUCCUUCAAUACCCCUGAGAAGCAACGCAUUAUAAAUCCCAUUUUACAGAUGGGCGAACUGACUUUUCCCCAAGUCCCAGAGUGGUUCGGUGACAGAGCUGGGAAUUGAACCAUUAGACAUUUCCCUCUUCAUGACAGCUCUGUACAAUCCCAGGACUCAUUUAUUUUCCCUAUUAAAAAGAAGUAAACAAGUAUUUUCUUUCUGAGACCCACUGAGGAUGGGGGAUUGGGGGGAAAAUGGAAGUAAAAUUAAAAAUAAAAUGGCAUAAUUCCCUACUGGCCCUGAGUUGUCCAGUCUCCUUUACAUUCACACUUCUCUUUGUUACGUUUCCUUGAAGUUGAACCUCCCUGGAGAAGGGAACCUCAGAGUAUGUGGUGCUGGGGAAGAAAUGCUUCAAGAAAAAGAAAAAUAAUCGCAGCUGCAAUGUUAAAAAUAAGAAGCUAAUCAAAGGCAGCCCAUGUGGGCGCCACUUUCAUCUCUCAUCUUCAAAGAGGUGCAAACAAACAUUGUCGGCGUGCCAAGCAGCAGCCUCAGCGCCUGAUGAUCCCAUUACUCCUCCAGCGUCCACCCUCCCUUUCCAUGCUGCUGAGCCUGUAGGCAUGGGACUCCAGGAUCGCUGCCAAGAUACACUGGACUGCAGUUUUGCCAUGCUCUGAACAUUUGCUAUACUGCACUCCAGAUGUGGCUGCCUUUCAUAGACAGGUAAGGUUAUACCUGUCUGACUAUUAUUAUUAUUAUUAUUAUAUCUGAUUAUUUUGUUUGUUUGUGACUUGCUUUAGUAUCAGAAAUGUAAGUGAUCGGAUUGCUUCUCUUGAUCAGGAUGUCAGGAGAGGCAAUAAGGAAGGGUAUAUAGGAUUGGGAAUAGCCAGUCUGUAAACUAAACUAGAUCCAGGACUUGCUCAGUUAUUUAGAUUUUAUUAAACAUAUGCAAGUUCUUAUCCAGCCUGUACUUGCCACAAUUCUGCAAAUACAAAGCUACUAAUAAGGGGUGUCGGAGCCUGCCCUGCUGAAGGAUAGUUGGAUAUGGAUCAUGGUGAUGUCUGGAAGGGAAACUACUAGUUUGAUCAAAGCCUUGUACUCAGCGCUGAGUGCUGAUGGAAUGAUAGAGAGAAUAAGGUAGAAAGACAGUGGCUGGUUUACAUCUCAUCCAGCAGAAGCUGUUAUGAGGGACUUAUUGAUCUCUACUUCAGCCACCGCUGUGGGUUAAAUUAUGGGAUAUAUUUGAAGAGACCAGUCUAAGUGCACCCAACAGGAGGUGCUGAAAAGAACAGCCUGCUGUGCUGAAGUUUUUUCCCCCAUCAUAAAGAGAAGAGGGAGAGAUUUUGUUCUGAAUGAAUUAAAACUACGCCUUUGCAUGAGAGCAAUUCAUAUUAUAAAAAAUACAUAAAACAACUAGACUCGGCAGCUGGAGAAUCCAAGAGAAAAUCUGGAUUAUGAAGAGAUUCUUAAGUUUUUUGUAACAUGACAGUACGAAAAAACAUUUGGUCUUAACUAUCUUUCCAGCUGUUUACACAGAGUCUGUGUCUUCUCUGACAAGUUUGCUUAAGGGACUUCAUAGACAUGUUCUUAUGGUCAUCUAAAUGCAAUUUCUGUAUAUGUAUGCGCAUAUCUCCACAUUCUUGGACAUUUGACACACUUUAUGUGCAUGUACAUAAUCUUAUUGAAUUAACUUCCUCUUUGA